AGGGCCCAACUGUCUCCUCUCUCCAAUCAAUGAAACUGAUCUCUCCGUGAAGAAGCGGAGAUUUAACUAUAAGACGAGAAGACCCCAUGGAGCUUUAAACCUGACUACACCCUUAUCUAUUAUACCCCCUUAAUCAACAGGACCCUGUCUGUCAGUUUUAGGUUGGGGUGACCACGGAGCACAAAUAAACCUCCAUGAUGAACUGGACUAACCCAUUAUCUAAGAAAAACACCUCAAAGAAUUAGCACACUAACAUAAAAUGAUCCGACACUCGAUCAACGAACCAAGUUACCCUGGGGAUAACAGCGCAAUCUACUUCAAGAGCCCAUAUCGACAAGUGGGUUUACGACCUCGAUGUUGGAUCAGGGUAUCCUAGUGGUGCAGCAGCUACUAAAGGUUCGUUUGUUCAACGAUUAAAACCCU
rnacentral:rRNA from 1 species